rnacentral:rRNA from 1 species
AUGAACGCUGGCGGCGUGCCUAAUACAUGCAAGUCGAGCGAACAGACGAGGAGCUUGCUCCUCUGACGUUAGCGGCGGACGGGUGAGUAACACGUGGAUAACCUACCUAUAAGACUGGGAUAACUUCGGGAAACCGGAGCUAAUACCGGAUAAUAUAUUGAACCGCAUGGUUCAAUAGUGAAAGACGGUUUUGCUGUCACUUAUAGAUGGAUCCGCGCCGCAUUAGCUAGUUGGUAAGGUAACGGCUUACCAAGGCAACGAUGCGUAGCCGACCUGAGAGGGUGAUCGGCCACACUGGAACUGAGACGCGGUCCAGACUCCUACGGGAGGCAGCAGUAGGGAAUCUUCCGCAGUGGGCGAAAGCCUGACGGAGCAACGCCGCGUGAGUGAUGAAGGUCUUCGGAUCGUAAAACUCUGUUAUUAGGGAAGAACAAAUGUGUAAGUAACUAUGCACGUCUGGACGGUACCUAAUCAGAAAGCCACGGCUAACUACGU